rnacentral:rRNA from 1 species
AGAUUGAACGCUGGCGGCAGGCCUAACACAUGCAAGUCGAGCGGUAGAGAGGUGCUUGCACCUCUUGAGAGCGGCGGACGGGUGAGUAAUGCCUAGGAAUCUGCCUAGUGGUGGGGGGGUAACGUUCGGAAACGGACGCUAAUACCGCAUACGUCCUACGGGAGAAAGCGGGGGACCUUCGGGCCUCGCGCCAUUAGAUGAGCCUAGGUCGGAUUAGCUAGUUGGUGAGGUAAUGGCUCACCAAGGCGGCGAUCCGUAACUGGUCUGAGAGGAUGAUCAGUCACACUGGAACUGAGACACGGUCCAGACUCCUACGGGAGGCAGCAGUGGGGAAUAUUGGACAAUGGGCGAAAGCCUGAUCCAGCCAUGCCGCGUGUGUGAAGAAGGUCUUCGGAUUGUAAAGCACUUUAAGUUGGAGGAAGGUUGUAAUUAAUACGUUGCAACUUUGACGUUACGACAGAAUAAGCACGCUAACUUCGUGCCAGCAGCCG